UACAGAGGGUGCGAGCGUUGUUCGGAAUUAUUGGGCGUAAAGCGCACGUAGGCGGACUCUUAAGUCGGUGGUGAAAUCCUGGAGCUCAACUCCAGAACUGCCUUCGAUACUGGGAGUCUCGAGUCCGAGAGAGGUGAGUGGAACUGCGAGUGUAGAGGUGAAAUUCGUAGAUAUUCGCAAGAACACCAGUGGCGAAGGCGGCUCACUGGCUCGGGUACUGACGCUGAGGUGCGAAAGCGUGGG
rnacentral:rRNA from 1 species